UCAUGCCUCUUGAAAGAUCCAUCGAGCUCCGCCUUCAACUGUCGACUGCCGCACGCUGGAAAUCGCCCACGGUGGUGGGCCGGCAACCAAUCAAGCUUAAAUUUACACCAGAUCAUCGCCUUGCCCCCUCUUUCCAAAUCUCCACUCCUUACGCCUCAAAUCUGGAUAGGAUUCUUUGAAUCUUAGAUCAGAAACUCCGAACUCCAGAGUGCUGCCCUCAAAUCCUCCACCACCGGUCGGCGGCGCCACCUCCUUUCACCCUCAAAAUCACACAAAACAACCACCUAACUCUCCUCAUCUUAGAUCCUCACCCUGCCUGCUUCAAAUCCCCCUGAAGUUUCUCAUAUUUUGGAUAAAAAAUUCAAACCCUAAGUCUCCAAAACGUAAAUCGGUGGUCAUAUUGAAGAUUUGAAGCCGGGAAGGGUUUUAUGCAUGUGUUUUCAUUUGAGAACACGUUAUUAAAACCCAUUCCGAUCAAAAUCAGAGGGUACUGGAGGUUUGUUCAAGCCAACCAUCUGCCUAUCUGCUCUGGGUAUUUCUGUUCUUUUCCUCUCAUCUCUUUAUUUUUGUUUUCUUUUACUUCGUCUCCUUUCUUUUUCUCUCUUUCUCAUUCUUCUUGAUUUUGUUUCAUUUGACCAGUUAGGGAAAUUAGAUAGCAUGAACUUCUUAGUAAUUUUGUUUCGUUAUGUCAAACGAACUUAGGGUCAAUUCCGUUUUGUUACUUUUGUUAUUAUUGAUCUUUUGUCUUUUGUUAUUCAUAAGUAUCGAUUUAAUAGUUAGAAAAUCAUCAAAUUGGUUACUUCUUAUAUUGUAAAUUAGCUUUGGCAAGGUUUGGGUCAGAAAUUGAGCUUUGAAUGCUCAUUUGGAUUGGUUUAAAAUCAGCUUUGCGCAUGUUGAGUCAUUUAUGACCCGGUUCAAAAGAAGCCCGUUUGUUUUGAAUCCAUAAGUGUAAGAACAGGGUGGCUAAAGAUUAGUUUGGGUAGAUUUCUUAAUGAAUAUUUUAAUAACAGCCUUAGAAAGCUUCCUAGAAGCUAAAAACAGACUUGCUUGGCAAGCAAGCCAGAAUUGGGACUUUUGAGCAAAAACAAAAAUUAGAAAGUGACUAAAGUACAGAUCUAAUCCCUACAUUGUUUUCCUAUUUCCUUGUCUAUAAAGGCACACUUUCUUGUUUUUCAGGAGAAAAAGGAGAUUUUAGAGGAGGACUUCAGUGAUAAAAAUCAAGAAAAAGAAAACGGCUAGGUGUUUGACUCUUCCAUUGAAUCUUCUUCUCUUUUAUUGGUCGAUUUCUAAAGUUUCAAGUCUUGACACAUUUUCUGAGAGUUCAUAUAGAGUGAUAUUAAAUUUUGGAAGAGUUUUCUGGGUCAAGUUGUUAAGGAUCACUGUUCCAUUGAAUUUUUAAGCUGGUUUUAGUGUUUUAAUUGUUAAAUCUGGGUUGUUCUGUUGCUGUUUAUUGCAUUCACUUCUUUUCCUUUUGCAAUUUCUAGGUAUACCUCCAAAACUUGUCAUGGAAUUGAAUAUUGAUUAGCAUGUAUGAGGAUCUGGGAAUUCAAGUUGAAGUUUGAAUGGAAACCUUAAAUUUAUGAUUUAAUUUAUGUUAUUUACUCCUAUUGUAUGUUAUUGAAUGCUUCAGUUUUGUAGCAGGUCAAUUUCUGGUUUAUGUAGGGUUGUAGGUUCAUGCUAAUAACUUAUCGUAGUACAUUUAUUCAUAUUUUAGCGCGUAAUUUCAGAAUAAUGGAAUGUUGUAAUAGCAUUUGAACUCUAUUUACAUGAAUGGACUGUUUUAAACCUUUACAUGGUAAUUUUCAAGGCAUGCCAAGCCUGCUGUGUGUGGAUCUGAAAAUGGACUCACAUGUGUUCAAGUUGUUAAUGAACAAUAAUCCUGAAAAUAGCAUCUCUUAACUUCAUAUUGAUUGUAUGUUCAACUAAUAGUGAUCUUCCUUGGUUUUCUGAUUUUGAUUCUUAACCUUUAGUAUUGGUCGGAAAACUUGAGUUUUACUAGUAGCUGAUUUUUGCUAGUUUCUUAGCGACUAGAGACUAUUAGGGUUAAUGGCAUCUGUUCUUUCUUAUUAUACUCUCUGAUUAUCACUUUUAUUCUUAAAGGUUGGGAUGUGUUUAGUCAAAAAUGUUGAUUAAUUAGUUCAGGAAUUGAGGCUUCAUGAUUGCUAUCUUAAUUGGUGCAAAUAUGUGGACACUUAGCAUAAAUGAGCAUGUGUAUAUGUUAAAAAAAUGAAAUUUGGCUUGGUCAUUUACAUAUUGUCUUUUAAAAGGAAGCGCAACACAAGUUACAUGUUGUAUCAGGGAGGAACCAUUGUUUGUUUUAGAUUAACUUGAGAUCAUUUGAUUUGGUCGGAUUAAGCGUUGGUUCUUUUGGGGUAAUUGCGAAUUAAAUGUCAUAGUCAAAAACCGUUUAGGCCAAGCAGAUUGUUGGUUGAGAAAAGGCAGUGGGCUUUGAAUUGGAUCAUGAAGCUUAGGAAUUGGACUCGUUCUGUUUAUUUUAUAUAAUUUGAUGGUUGAAAGCUCAGGGACUUGAUAUGUCCCUCUCUCUGAUGACGCCCAUCUUCACCAAAGGCUUGGGCCCAAAUUGUGCAGCCCCUUGUUCAUAAAGCCAUUGGCUCAUUUAGAGUUGGAUUAAACCCAUUUGAUUAAAUAACCAACCCUAUCUUGUAAUCCUUUUAGAGAAACCUUUAAUUACAGUUGACAUUUUUGAUUAAUUAGGCUCUUACCAACAAUAAAUAUGGCGAGCCAUAUCUUAUAAUACAAGUAGUAUAUGGCCCUCAUGGAUUUGUUUAAAAACCUUUUGGAUAGAAUAGUUUGAGGUGUGCCAUGCCGAAUAAAAUGAUAACUGCACGGUCCUCAAUUAAGUUUGAUUUAAUCCUUAGAAUUCGAGGCGUGCCACUUAGUAAAAUUUCCAUGGCUUUGCAAAGUUGCAAAUGCGAAAUUGCUUUAGGUGCGUUAGUUAAAUAAUUUACCUUCCUAAUUCAGGUGCACAUUUAUGUCAUCCAAAUACAAACCCUAACAACGUUAUGUAAAAUGUGUUGCGGACUACGUGUGCAUUUAUGUGACGCGGUUCAAAACGCAUUUAUCUAAUGUUGAAUUUUUCCUUAAAAUUAAAUAAAAGCGGUUAAAAAGUUAAAAUUACACAUAGGUUCAAAAAUGCAUUAAAAUAAGAUAAUUAGGCCAAUUAUCAUAGUUGAGCGGCCGUGAUAGGACCACAUCGGAAAUGCCUAACACCGUCUCCCAGGUUAACAAAAUUCCUUACCCGAAUUUCUGGUUCGCGGAUUGUAAUACAUAGUCAACCUUUCCUCGAUUCGGGAUUUAAAACUGGUGACUUAGGACACCAUAAAUUAUCCCAAAUGGUGGUUCUGAAUCUUUAAACAAAAUAAACCCAUUUCUAUUGUCACUUAAAUUGAAAAAAACUCCCUUAUACCCUUUUCUUGGUGUAGGUAAAAAGGAGGUGUGAAAUCUCUGGCGACUCCGCUGGGGACCCAAACCUAGAACUUCGGUUCAGAGUUUAAGAAUUCGAGCUUAGAAUAUUUGUUAUGAUUAGAUUUAUAUAGUAUUUGAUUUUAUUACAUGUUAAGACCUAGUGUGCUAAAUGCUUUUACCGCUUUGGUAUUCAGCGAAUUGUAUAUAAAACUGCUACGAAACCCUUAUCUUCUCAUCUCCGGGGAUGUGCACGCUGGUCGUGACUCCCUAUUCUGCUAGUGUCACACCUUGAAUUAAGAAAAAGGCUCGGACAAGUUACUAAGCCGGAUGGCCUUUUAGUUCCUGGUACGUAGCCCCCUCCUCAGCUCAAGUUGUCUGCUCGGGUACACAGUCUAGAACACAUACCCAAGUUUUGAACUUAGAAUAACUCAGCCUCAUGCCGGAUCUUUGUAGGAAUGCUUGUUUGCAUCAUGUGCUCAACACAAGUGUUGGGUCUAUUUAGGACAGGUGUGCCCAGAAUCAAAGACCAUCCUGAUGCAUAUUUUACGUGCUACUUGUACAAUUCUUUGCUUCAGUUUCCAUGUUGACCGGCUUCUAGAAUAUGGAAAGAAAAUAAAAAAAGGGGGAAAAAGAAAAACAAAGUGUGAGAGGUAGGUAUUUAGAAAAUUCUGAAACUGCAUCAAAACUCUGAAAAAAGAAAAGUCAUUUCAAAAUGGGCAAAAAAAGAGAAAUUUUCAAGUGCCAUGUUUCCCGUGUUCCGUCAAGACUGACCGAACUACGUGGGUCUGAUUCUCACCAGAUGUGAGAUACGUAGGCAAACCUCAUCGGGUCCGACCCAAAUUUUCAAAAAUCCAAAAAUAUUUUCCUUUAGUUCUUUCGUUAGAAAUAUUUUCUUAGAAAAUUCAAAAAAGAAGAAGUUUUUAAACUCAAAAAUAGUUUCCUUCUUUUUAAUACCUUUCAUACGAAAAAAAUCAAUAAAAAAUCAAAAUCCAAAAGUACGAGUUUCCUUCAUUUUGAAGAAUUUUUCCAAAAAAAAAAAUCCAAAAAUAUAAUCAGAAACAAAAUCUAAAAAAUACUCCUUAGAUAUCUUUCUUUCAUAAAUGUCAAUAAAAAAAAUGAAAAUAAUUAAAGCCUAAAAAUAUUUUCGCUUUUCUUUAGAAGUGCUUUUGUAAAUAAAUAAAAGCUCAGAAAUCCAAAACAUUCUUCUUAUAAGUCUUUCUUUUGAAAAUUAAGAGGCAACAUCUAAAAUCCAAAAAUAAUAUUUUUCUUUCUUCUUUGGAAAAAGAGAAAACAUAUGAGAAUUCAAACAAAAAUAUUUUUCUUUUACUUUUGAAGAUCCCAAAGUUCAAGUCAAAGAAAUUAUUUUUGAAGUCUUUCAAAAAAAUAUGUGAACCAAUUUCCUUUUUAGCCCGUGCCAAAAAGAAUGACAUCUUUCCUUAUUUGGAAAUAAUUUACCUUUACACAAUGAUUUCUAGCCACACAAAAUAAAGGUGCCUUAUUUUGCAUCACAAGAUCAAAAGUCUUCUCUCUUUUCUUAAACUCCGUGCCCAGUCAAAUGGGUUCACAUAAAUUGAAACGGAGGGAGUAUAAUAAUAUUUUCUUGCUUCUUUAGAAGCCUUUUUCAAAUAAUUUUAAAAAAAAUCAAAAAAAAUAUUUCCUUUCUUCUUUUAAAGCAUUUCUCUCAAAAAAUUCCCAAAAAAGAGAGUUAGCUUAUUUACUCUUUUCUCAAUCUUUCCGAACUACACAAGAUCUGAUUCAUGCAGGAUCAUGAUAUGUAGGUAAUCCUCAUCAGAUUCGGUCAUAGCCAUAGAUAGAUUGAGCGAAUAAUAAAAUGAGAUAAAAUAAUGUGAAAACAAUUGAGUGAAAAAAGUGAUAAAAACAAAAAAAAAGAAAAAAAGAAAAAAAGAGUGCAAAAAAAUAACAAUAAAUAAAAGAGCGGAAAAAAACAUGAGAUGAAAAAAUCAAAAGUGAUUAAAAAUAUAGGAGAAAUAAAGAAAAAAGAGGUGAAGUUAGUUAAGGCCAGGAUGAAACAUGCAACCGUUCAAACACACAGUAGAAGCGUUUAACUGUUAGGUGCAUUGCAUCUUAACUGCAAUUUUCUAUAUGUUAAAUGUUUCAAAACUAACAAGGUUGUUGGAUGUACAAAUUAGCCAGGUUUUGGUGGUUGGUUUUGUUGGUAGUCUGGCCUCCCCUCCUUCACG
rnacentral:lncRNA from 1 species